UUUGGCGGUUCCUUAGUCUAUUCAGAGGAACCUGUUGUGUAAUCGAUACUCCACGGUGGACCUUACUUAGUUUUGUUUAAAAUUAUACAGUUCAUAUACCGCCGUUAUUGAAAAUUUUUUAAGAAUAAUGAAUUUUCUUGAUCUAUUAUUAGAGUAUAUCAGGUCAAGGUGUGGCUUAUAGCUAAGUAUUAAUGGGUUACAAUAAAUUUAUUUAAACGGAUUAUAAGAUGCAAUAAUAUUAUAUGAAGGUGAAUUUGAUAGUAAAUUUGUUUAAGAAAAAUAUGUUGAUUUUAGCUCUAAGGCGUGCACAUAUCGCCCGUCACUCUUGUUUAUAAAAUAAGAUAAGUCGUAACAUAGUAGAUGUACUGGAAAGUGUUUCUAGAAUAUCAAUUUAAAGCUUAUUAAGUAAAGUAUUUCAUUUACAUUGGAAUGAUGCUGUGCAAAUCAGUAUAAGUUGAUAGUAUAUAUUUAUUAAUUAUUUAAGU
rnacentral:rRNA from 1 species